UGUGAUGAAAGUUAGCAACCAAAGGGGAGUGUGGAGCCCAAGGGAGGCUUGUUCCUGUUUGAAAUGAGCGUGAGAGAAACUUGUAGACCAAGAGAUUAAAAAUGCUUGAGUAGGAAGAAAAUAAGGGUGAGAGUGUAGCUUAAGGGCUGGAGCUGGGAAAGAGUGAGGGUGCUGUAGUCAGAAAGACGUGGGUUCAAGUCCUAGCUCUGUCACCAUCUAGCUGUGUGACCUCAGGCAAGUGAUGCUACCCCUCUGAGCCUCACCACCCUCAUCUGUAAAAUGGGGCGGCGGGGGAGGGGAUGUUAAAGCAAAGGUGAAGAUGAUAGGCCAAAGGUCAGAGCUGAAUGGGGAUCAAAGGGAGAGAUGGGUUAACUUUUCCCAGAUGGUUUUAAUUUUUUUGUCUGUGAUAUAGGAUCCUUUGAGAGGGAGGACGGUGAAUUCGAACUUCAGAGAGGAGAGGUCUAGAAUCCCUAGAAGAAAAUAGCUUACCUAAAUUUUCUUUUUCUUUCUUUCAUUCUUUUUUUUUUUUUUUAACUUACCUAAUUUUCAGUUCACUUGCCAAAACCAGUGUAUCUGUUGCUCUCCCUACACACCUUCUCACCUCUACCCCCUUCCCUACUGGGAAGAUGGACCCAUCCUUCCCUGGAUUCAUACCCCUCAUUGCCUUUCUGAGAACUUCUGGUCCCCUUGCCUCCUCCCUUGUUCUCCCUGCCCUCCUCCACACUUCUGCCUGGGGGCUCUCCUGAUCAGCAAAGUUUAGAACAGACCCUUUUGUAGGGGCCCACUUCUUACAGUCUCUGUCCACCUUCCUUGGACUGUUAGUGUUCUGAUGAAUUCUCCAUGCCCUUCCUUGUCCCAGCUGGUGCAGAAGUUCUGCAUUUCUAGUAGAAAUACCAUGGUUCAUUUAUUCCUUCCCCUAUUAACAGAUACUUAGGUUGUUUCCAGUUUUCGUUCCUGUAAGCAAGACUCCUUGAACAUCCUUGUGGUUGUCUCCUUGGUCAAUUGGCAGAUGUGUCUGUGGGGUAGAGACUGAGUUGAAUUGCUGGGUCUUUGAGUCGGCAUGGCUUUACUUUGUAAUGGAUGAUGCCAUAUUGCUAAGUGCCUGUAUAUUCUUAUUUUCCUUUUAUUUUUAGGUUAAUUAUAAUUCACAACACAUUGCUUGCAACUGGCAUUUAAUACUCAGCAUUGUAUCUUAGAUAUCCUUAUCUCAGAAUGUAAAGAUUCUCAUUCCUUUUUAUAGAUGUAAGUUUUUUUGAAGUUAUCCCUUACUAAUGGAGAUUUAAGAUGUUUGUAAUCUUUUGCUGUAAGAAUAAUGCUAUAGUGAAUAACUUUUUAGUUUUGUCCUUAUAUCCUUUCAUAAUACAUAUGCCUCUAUCCGUAGGAUAAAUUCCUAGAAGUAGAAUUUCUGGGCCAGUUAUGUGUGUCUAUGUAAUUUUUAAAAAUUGACGUGUGGGGUGCCUGGGUGGCUCGGUAGGGUAAGAGUCCGAGUCUUGAUUUCAGCUCAGGUUAUGAUCUCACGGUUUGUAAGUAUGUGUGCUCUCUCGCUCUCUCUCUCAAAAUAAAUAAACCUAAAAAAUAAAAACCUCACAGUGAAAUGCACAUGACGUAAAAUUAACCACUUUAUUGUUCUUUAGUUUUUUUUCUGAGUCUCUUCAUUUAAUUAGUCUUUGCACCCAGUGUGGGGCUCAAACUUGUGGUCCUACAAUCAAGAAUUGCAUGCUCUUCUGACUGAGCCAGCCAGGGGCCCCAGAUUAACCAUUUUAAAGUGAACAGUUCAGUGCCAUCACAACCUUUGUCUAGUUCUGAAACACUUGUGUUACUCCAAAAUAAAACCCUGCACCUGUUAAGCAGUCACUUCCCUUUCUUCUCUCCUCCUGCCCCUGGCAACCAGUAAUCUGUAUUUCAUUUCUAUGGAUUUAAGUAUUCUGGAUAUUUCAUAUAAAUGUAAUCAUACAA